rnacentral:rRNA from 1 species
UUCCAUGCUUCCAAGAAAAGCAUCUAGAGAGAGAAGUAGUGCCCGUACCGCAAACCGACACAGGUAGAUGAGGAGAGAAUCCUAAGGCCGGCGGAAGAAUUGCAGUUAAGGAACUAGGCAAAUUGACCCCGUAAGUUAGCGAGAAGGGGUGCCUGCGAGAGCAGGCCGCAGAGAAUAGGCCCAAGCAACUGUUUAGCAAAAACACAGGUCUCUGCUAAAGCGCAAGCUGAUGUAUAGGGGCUGACGCCUGCCCGGUGCUGGAAGGUUAAGGGGAACACUUAGCGCAAGCGAAGGUGUGAACUUAAGCCCCAGUAAACGGCGGCCGUAACAAUAACGGUCCUAAGGUAGCGAAAUUCCUUGUCAGGUAAGUUCUGACCCGCACGAAUGGCGUAAUGACUUGGGCACUGUCUCAACUGCAAAUCCGGCGAAGUUGUAGUGCGAGCGAAGAUGCUCGCUACCCGCGAUUGGACGGAAAGACCCCGUAGAGCUUUACUGUAGCUUAGCAUUGAAUUCCGGUAUUGUCUGUACAGGAUAGGUGGGAGACUGGGAAACUAGGGCGUCAGCCUUAGUGGAGUCGUCCUUGGGAUACCACCCUGACAGUACUGGGGUUCUAACAGGACGCCAUGAAUCUGGUGACUGGACAUUGUUAGGUGGGCAGUUUGACUGGGGCGGUCGCCUCCUAAAACGUAACGGAGGCGCCCAAAGGUUCCCUCAGAACGGUCGGAAAUCGUUCGUAGAGUGCAAAGCAGAAGGGAGCCUGACUGCGAGACCUACAAGUCGAGCAGGGACGAAAGUCGGGCUUAGUGAUCCGGUGGUACCUCGUGGGAGGGCCAUCGCUCAACGGAUAAAAGCUACCUCGGGGAUAACAGGCUGAUCUCCCCCAAGAGUCCACAUCGACGGGGAGGUUUGGCACCUCGAUGUCGGCUCGUCGCAUCCUGGGGCUGUAGUAGGUCCCAAGGGUUGGGCUGUUCGCCCAUUAAAGCGGCACGCGAGCUGGGUUCAGAACGUCGUGAGACAGUUCGGUCCCUAUCCGUCGCGGGCGUAGGAAAUUUGAGAGGAGCUGUCCUUAGUACGAGAGGACCGGGAUGGACUGACCUCUGGUGCACCAGUUGUUCUGCCAAGAGCAUGGCUGGGUAGCUAAGUCGGGAAGGGAUAAACGCUGAAAGCAUCUAAGCGUGAAGCCUCCCUCAAGAUGAGAUUUCCCAUAGCAUAAGCUAGUAAGACCCCUUGAAGAACACGAGGUUGAUAGGUCAGAGGUGUAAGUGUGGUAACAUAUUUAGCUGACUGAUACUAAUAGGUCGAGGGCUUGACC